rnacentral:rRNA from 1 species
UGGCGGCGUGGUUAAGACAUGCAAGUCGAACGAGAGAAUUGCUAGCUUGCUAAUAAUUCUCUAGUGGCGCACGGGUGAGUAACACGUGAGUAACCUGCCCCCGAGAGCGGGAUAGCCCUGGGAAACUGGGAUUAAUACCGCAUAGUAUCGAAAGAUUAAAGCAGCAAUGCGCUUGGGGAUGGGCUCGCGGCCUAUUAGUUAGUUGGUGAGGUAACGGCUCACCAAGGCGAUGACGGGUAGCCGGUCUGAGAGGAUGUCCGGCCACACUGGAACUGAGACACGGUCCAGACACCUACGGGUGGCAGCAGUCGAGAAUCAUUCACAAUGGGGGAAACCCUGAUGGUGCGACGCCGCGUGGGGGAAUGAAGGUCUUCGGAUUGUAAACCCCUGUCAUGUGGGAGCAAAUUAAAAAGAUAGUACCACAAGAGGAAGAGACGGCUAACUCUGUGCCAGCAGCCGCGGUAAUACAGAGGUCUCAAGCGUUGUUCGGAAUCACUGGGCGUAAAGCGUGCGUAGGCUGUUUCGUAAGUCGUGUGUGAAGGGCGCGGGCUCAACCCGCGGACGGCACAUGAUACUGCGAGACUAGAGUAAUGGAGGGGGAACCGGAAUUCACGGUGUAGCA